ACUCCUACGGGAGGCAGCAGUGGGGAAUCUUGGACAAUGGGGGCAACCCUGAUCCAGCCAUGCCGCGUGAGUGAUGAAGGCCUUAGGGUCGUAAAGCUCUUUCGCCUGUGAAGAUAAUGACGGUAGCAGGUAAAGAAACCCCGGCUAACUCCGUGCCAGCAGCCGCGGUAAUACGGAGGGGUUAGCGUUGUUCGGAAUUACUGGGGCGUAAAGCGCACGUAGGCGGAUCGGAAAGUUGGGGGUGAAAUCCCGGGGCUCAACCCCGGAACGGCCUCCAAAACUAUCGGUCUAGAGUUCGAGAGAGGUGAGUGGAAUUCCGAGUGUAGAGGUGAAAUUCGUAGAUAUUCGGAGGAACACCAGUGGCGAAGGCGGCUCACUGGCUCGAUACUGACGCUGAGGUGCGAAAGUGUGGGGAGCAAACAGGAUUAGAUACCCUGGUAGGACAGUG
rnacentral:rRNA from 1 species